rnacentral:lncRNA from 1 species
AAUAUUUAAGUAUUUUUACUAUUGCUUUUGAUUUUAAUGAUUAGCUUCAAUUUACAUGUAGAUUCAUAUAUUAAAAAGAAAGGAAAAAAAAAACCCAUACAAACAUUUAUUUGGAACUUUUAAGAAAUACCCUUAAAAGUACAAAUGUUUUUUAGCUCGUCCGAACUCAAAGUCUAAUUUAAUAUUUUUUUGGAAUUAUCUUGAUGUAUUACAGUUGAAAUCUAGUCUAAAAUCGGUUCAAAAUAAAGAAUAUAAGAAUCUUCCCCCUCUCCACACACAUUCUUGAAGAACCAAAGUUUGAAUCUCAAGAAUGAGAUGAUAAGAUGUCCACUAUUUGACUAAAAAGUGAUUUGCAACGUUUCUUCAAAGAAUAAUAAUAUGGACACAAACUCUUAUAUAAUUUUUUUUUAUCACCUACGGGAUAUGAACCCUCACGAGUGAAAGUUAAAAAUAAAAUUUCUUGUUGCAAUCCUAGAGCAAUUGUAGAUGCUUGGUGCGGCCCUUCGACAGGUGUAUUACCGGAAGUAGAUGCAGAAUGAAAGCCAGCAGAUGCAAAAUGAAAGCUAGCAGACUCAGAAUACGAAGUUUCACGAGUGCAAGAUGGAAAUAAAGUUUUUGGCUGCGACCCUAGUGUAAUUUGAGGAGUCUGGUGCAACCCUUGAGCAAUUGUAGUUUCUUGAGAGUAUGAUCCCAGAGGCUAAAAAACCGGCUUAUCCCUAAGUUUCCUGCUAAUUUUUUAAGCUAGGUAUUUGUUUACCUUCUUCUUUUUUCCGUGCGGCAUCAUCCCUAGGAGUCAUCACUAACAGAAGAUAGAAAGAGACAAGAAAAACAAAAUAUUACAACCUCCCAGUUGCAUAAAAAUUGUUAUGCUUAAAUAAAAUUCAUUUAGAGAUGGAAUAUUUGUAGAGGUAGAAGGGAUAAAGCCAAAGGCAGUUAGAAAGCCUGGUUAAGAAAGAUAUUUCCAGGACCGCAAGUCUAUAAGGUCUUUAAAAACUUCAUCAAUUUGAUGUUGCUCAACAUGGUCGAUAGAGGUGUAUCCCCAUGACACUGCAAAAAGAAAAAAAGACAAAGACAAAGAGUAAUUACGCUAAUAAAGAAAAAGCACACCCUGUAUCAAUUUUUUAUGAAGCUACCUGGAGUAGAAAAAUGGGUUUGAACCCAAUAUCCAGGACACAUAUCUGGAGAAUUUCCUAACUUCCAAUCCCCACGCGCGAAAAGCCAAGAAUCUUUCUAGGAACCAUCAUGAGAUUUGCCAUGUGCGAUUAAAGGGGAAGAUUUAGCCCAAGCACGGACAUAAUACCAACCCUUGAGGGAGGAGUUUUUUUAUCACCUGAAAGACUCAUUAGUUGGUAAUUUCUUUGAAACUGACUAAAUGUGGGAUCUAGAAAACCCCUCAAUUUGCAUAAGAUGUACAUGCUUAUCAUGGCACACCAGGCGCUGGGGGAAAGCUGUGCCAGGGCACAGUUCAAGCAUAUCAGUAUAUAUCUCAAUGAGGGGUGCAAGGGCAACCUAACAACAUAGCAAAAAAAAAUCAAGAUGAAAAGCAACGGCCCCAUAAGGGGGUUGGCUAGCGAGCUCACCAAUUUGAGGCUUCCUAAGCUCGAUUGAACUUGGAAUUUCAUACUUGACUCUAAGAGAUGGAAUGGAUUUCUCACAAAUUGCAUUCCCCACCCAAUAGACCCAAUCGGUUGGAAGCUAGGUUGACCAUCAGGAACAAAUGACACAUGAGCAAAAUUUAUGAUAAGAGGUGUUUGGUCAGAGGAUAUGUGGCAGUAAUCAUCAUCAUCUUCAAAGUACUCAUAUAAAGAGGGUUAGAGUUAUUUUCAGAAUCAGAAGACAUUGAAAUUGUUAAAAACAUGAGGAAGAGAAGAGACACUCACCGAGUUAAGCGAGAACCAAAUGGUUGAAACUCCACGAGGUGAGUAAAUGUGCAAAA